rnacentral:tRNA from 1 species
UAAAAGAUAAGCUAACUAAGCUGAAGGACUCAUACCCCUUUUAUGGUCUCCCUCUUUUAA